rnacentral:tRNA from 1 species
CAUUAAGUGACUGAAAGUAAGUAUUGGUCUCUUAAACCAAAAAAUAGCAACUAACAAAUGCUCUUAGUGA